rnacentral:rRNA from 1 species
AGAACGAACGCUGGCGGCAGGCUUAACACAUGCAAGUCGAGCGCCCAGCAAUGGGAGCGGCGGACGGGUGAGUAACACGUGGGAACAUGCCCUUUGGUACGGGACAACUCAGGGAAACUUGAGCUAAUACCGUAUGAGCCGGUAACGGGAAAGAUUUAUCGCCAAAGGAAUGGCCCGCGUCCGAUUAGCUAGUUGGUGAGGUAAUGGCUCACCAAGGCACCGAUCGGUAGCUGGUUUGAGAGAACGACCAGCCACACUGGGACUGAGACACGGCCCAGACUCCUACGGGAGGCAGCAGUGGGGAAUCUUGGACAAUGGGGGCAACCCUGAUCCAGCCAUGCCGCGUGAGUGAUGAAGGCCUUCGGGUUGUAAAACUCUUUCGACGGGGACGAUAAUGACGGUACCCGUAGAAGAAGCUCCGGCUAACUUCGCGCCAGCAGCCGC